GCUGUUUCGAGACCUUUCGAGGUGGAGAUUCUUUGGUGGAAACCGCCUUAAUCGCAGUGGCUUGAACCGGGCAAAAGUCGUAACAAGGUUUCCGUAGGUGAACCUGCGGAAGGAUCAUUAUCGAGCUUUUGAAAGCCUCAUAGCGUGCAUACUUCCAUUUGCGCGCAUGUGAGCCGCGCGCCGUGUCGCACGAUUAGUCGCCAGCUGUUUUGGCAGGCAAUGGCUAGCGCAUGGCGUGUGUUUUGAGGGUACGCGGGUGAUGCGCCGUGCUAGUUGGCGUUUCGCGAGCGCUCGAGUGCCCGUUAUUCGUAACAGCGGUGUCCAUGUUGGUGUCUACGCUUCAUCGAGCUGCCGCCGGACCGUCGGUAGCGAUGAAAGAUGAAGGGACAGUUCCUCGGCACAGCGGCAGUAAUGCUGCUGUGCCGGGUAGAGCAGACUUAAUGAGCGUUCAGCUUGCGCGCCGCCAACGACCAAAACACAACCAAAUCUUUGAGCAUUGCAGGAUGAAAAAAGCGCAUUUGUUUGCGUUUAACGUACUACUCUUAGCGGUGGAUCACUUGGCUCGUGGAUCGAUGAAGAACGCAGCUAGCUGCGAUAAAUAGUGCGAAUUGCAGACACAUUGAGCACGAAUACUUUGAACGCGCAUUGCGCCAUCGGGUUCAUUCCCGUUGGCACGUCUGGCUGAGGGUCGUUUUUUGUUCAACACGGAGGUGCGCUGCGUGAGCGCACACUGUGGCCGUGUCCAAGGCGGCCGGCUAUUCGGAGCAGGCACGCACAGCAUGAUUGGCUCGAAUACCCGGCUUGGAUUGGACGUCGCGUCAGCGAACUCGCUUGAAAAUGCGAGGCGUGCUACGGACGAGGUGAAGCGCGGCUCGGAUGUGGCGGUUUCCCAGCAAGUGUUGAUCACGGUCCCGCUUUGGGCCGUUCGAUUCAUUCGUUGGGGGGUCGCGCGCGUGCGUCCGCUCUGCGCUGAUCGUAUGUAUGUAGCGUUUCGAAUUUCUGACCUCAGCUCAGUCGUGAUUACCCGCUGAAUUUAAGCAUAUAACUAAGCGGAGGAAAAGAAACUAACGAGGAUUCCCCCAGUAACGGCGAGUGAACGGGGAAGAGCCCAGCGCUGAAUCCCUCGGCCAUUGGUCGCUGGGAACUGUAGCGUAUAGGUGCGGCUGUCCGCUCGUUUCGCGCACCCAAAGUCCCCUUGAGCGGGGCUACAGUCCAUAGAAGGUGCUAGACCUGUACGGGUGGUGAGGCGCGCGGUAGGUUGUUCCUUGGAGUCGGGUUGCCUGAGAUCGCAGCCCAAAGUUGGUGGUAGAUCUCAUCUAAGGCUAAAUACGGCCACGAGACCGAUAGCAAACAAGUACCGUGAGGGAAAGUUGCAAAGAACUUUGAAGAGAGAGUUCAAGAGGGCGUGAAACCGCUGAGAUUGAAACGGAUAGAGUUGACGGAACUCGAUGGCAUUCAACCGAUCCGAGCGGCGGCCUCGCGGCUCUGCGCCUCGAUGAGGACAGCGACGCGAGUAGCUGCAGCUUGCUGGUGGGUGUAUUUGCCGUCGGUAUGCGCUGAGAGGUUCGCCAGCGUGCGUUGAUGGGCGUGUAGCGGACCAUUCCUUCCGGGCGUGGAACCCUUCGCGCUUUGAGGCGUAUCGUUGGUGAAUUUGAAGUGCUGUCUUCGCUAUGGUGCGUCGUAUGCGGCGCGGCUGUUGCGGCUAUUGGGCGGUCGCGUGCGACUGCUUGUAGUUUGUGACAACCCGCCGUAUUGCUUGAUGCGUCGAGAUGGCAUCUCGGUGUGAACGUUGACCACCUAUCCGACCCGUCUUGAAACACGGACCAAGGAGUCUAGCAUAUGCGCGAGUCAUUGGGUGGUAAACCUAGAGGCGUAAUGAAAGUAAACGUUGUCUUGAUGCAACUGAUAUGGGAUCCGUGCGUCCUAACGGUAGCGCGGCGCACCAUAGCCCCGUCCCCGUUGCUUGCAAUAGGGCGGAGGUAGAGCGCAUACGCUGGUACCCGAAAGAUGGUGAACUAUGCCUGAGCAGGAUGAAGCCAGAGGAAACUCUGGUGGAGGUCCGAAGCGGUUCUGACGUGCAAAUC
rnacentral:rRNA from 1 species